rnacentral:snRNA from 1 species
GUGCUUCCUUCUGCAGCACAAAUACUGAAAUUGGAACGAUACGGAGAUUAGCAUGGUCCCUGCACAAGGGUGAUGCUUUGUACUCAACUCAAAUCUUCACUCCUU